AAACAAAUUAGCGUUUUGUACACACUUUGUGUCUUCUAUCUUGUUAUAUAUAUUUAUUAAUCAAAAGGUUUCAGAAGUUAGCCAAAUUGUAACUUUCAAGAAAAACCAAACUAAUUAAUCAUACCCUUCCUCAAUUUUUGUUUCAUUUUAUAAUACGGAUAGCUAUGGAUUCUUAUAUUCAUCAUCACCAUCAAGUCAAUUCCUACAUAUAUAUAUGGAUUCUUACUCAUCUACACCAUCAUCAAAUGGAUCCGAAAAUCUUGAUAAUCUUUACGUGUUUCUCUAUAUAAUUCACGAAUAUAAACUUAAAUGUGGGAGUAGUGAUGCCAAUUAAUUUGAUAAUGUUAUUUUUUGGACCCACUUUUUUUUUUUGAAUUUCCAAGACUAAAUGAUUCCCCGCAAGAAGGUCAGAGGCGAGACAAACAAGGUACAUCGUCCAUUUGGUGGAAUUUGAAAGACAUUACCAACUUCUUCUUUAUUGCAUAAUAUGAAUCAAUUUUCAUAUUCGUUUGGUACUUAAUAAGUUAAUAUAAUCAAAUCCAACACAUAUAUUUCAUAAUUUUCUUUAAAAAGGUAUAGUGUACCAAUUACCAAAACCUAAACAAUAACAAAACUACAUGAAUCACAAGUUCAAUAUACCUAGAUAAGAUUCGACUUAAUCUAAGAAUCAUUUUUGAUCCAUUUUGAGUUUUGAAGCAUCCUAGUUUUGGGUAUAUGUAUAUAUAAUAACAAGCUUGAAUCCAAAACAAUUAUAUAUAUGCAUUGCUACUUUUUUUCUAUAAGGUUUGAUUAUAUGCAUUGCUAGUUUCUUAUCGUGACAAUAUAUAAAUAUAUAUAUCACUAACCAAAUUUUUUUUGCCUGGUAUGGUUAUUCAUCAAUUUGUUCAACUUUUUCAUUAAAUUUGGGUUUCGGGUGUAAAAUUGUUGUUAAUUUAAAUUUCGCAUUUUAACAACAACAAAAAAAAAACAAGAUUUCAUAACAAAUCAUAAAUAAAGUAUAUUUCAUAAAUCACAAAUCAUAUUUCAUCACAUUUGGCAUAGAAACAAAUCAUAAAUAAAGCAUCUUUAACUAAUAUGUCCACUGAAGUUGCUCAUCCAUAUCAAUAGACCCAAUAAAACCACUAGAAUACAUAUAUACUUUGUUAUGUACCAUAUAAAAGGUAUAAUGUAAGAUUUGAAAUAUCUAUACCAAAUCUUCAACAAAAAAAACAAAAAGUGAUAUUGGUGGAAAAUAAAAGGAGAAGUUUGAAGAUGGGGUUUGAUAAGGCAAAGAAGGAAAACCAUUAAAUAAGAAUACUAUUUGUUGUUGUUAUUGUUAGAUUCUCUCAACCAUCAAUCCAUCCUCUACUUCUCUUUAAAUUCUUGUAACCUUUUAUGAGGGGGACCAAGGACCAACCAUAUUUUAGGGUAUGGCCAAAACAAUUUAAAUCCAACAAGCUUUAACAACAAAUUAUGGGUUAAUCAAACAAGAAACGUCAAAGUAACUAACCCUCUUUGACAAAAAAAAAAAAAAAAAAAAAAAAAAAACUAACCCUCAAGUAGCUGAAUUGCGCCUAUAGAAAAAGUUCUUCAAUAUUGUGAGUUUGAAUCUCGACGGUGGGAAGAGGGCUGAUUUAACUUGGCGUGUUUGUGUAAAAAUUUCGGAUAUGCGAAUGGACAUCCAGUCCAAAUCGUUGAGAAUCGACUUCUAAAAAAUGAAUGAACAUACUACAUACACAAAGAAAUCAAGGGCCACUCGGGAAAGUGGCGAAAACGGGAUCGAGAAAACAAAGCGUGUGUGACAUGAACAUAUAAGUAGACAACUUUCAAUUUUUCGUCAGUUAUGCAUAUACAUAUGUCACACUACACUAGUAUUAAGAGAGUUCAAAAUAAAGUACACUUAACUAUUCGAAUUAUGGAGAUGAUUAUUGCGGAGCCAGAUGAGGAUUCCUCCAGAACAAGAAAAUUAUGUGGGUGUUGCUAAUCAAGUGACUGGUCUUUUUGAGAAGAGAUAUCUCUCUAAUGCUCUGUUAUAGACACAUUUUCUAAUUAGUGUUUUGUUUCUAUAUGAACUUCUCUAAUCUAGAAAAAUGUUGCAUUGUUUAUUGAAUGCUAAGAUGGGAUAAUGGAAAAGAGGAGAUGUUGCAUUUACCUCUAUGAUUGGGUAAUGUAAUGGGCCUAUGUCACAUUGUUACAAAAAGGCCCAAUAAAUUUUAUCUUUUUAUUUUCCCUCGUGGUCGAGAGGCCCACGAAAACUACAUGAAUAAAAUUUCCGUCGCAAUAACAUGUACCCAUUUUAUUGGUUUGGGAUUUAGAAAGACUUUUAAUGAGUUUAAAAGUUAUGUAGAAUAUGUUGUUAUUCAAUCAAGAUUUUUAAAAACUCUAUUA